UACGGAGGGUGCAAGCGUUAUCCGGAUUCACUGGGUUUAAAGGGUGCGUAGGUGGGCAGGUAAGUCAGUGGUGAAAUCUCCGGGCUCAACCCGGAAACUGCCAUUGAUACUAUCAGUCUUGAAUAUCGUGGAGGUAAGCGGAAUAUGUCAUGUAGCGGUGAAAUGCUUAGAUAUGACAUAGAACACCAAUUGCGAAGGCAGCUGGCUACAGGGAUAUUGACACUGAGGCACGAAAGCGUGGGGAUCAAACAGG
rnacentral:rRNA from 1 species